AGGACCCUCCCUGAAGGGCGGUCUAGGGUGGCACGGCCAUAUGCGCCACCAUCCCGGUCUCCUCCCAGAGCCUCUCCAGCACCACCCUCGAUUAGGGCUUCUGGUUGGCAUCGUGACUUGGAAAGGAGGGACGCAGGCUGCCGGAGACCAUGCUCUGCUGCUCAUCUUCUCUCUGGGCUCCUGUCCCAGCUCCAGUGUCUCCUAUUUCGGCUCUGCAUCCUACCUUCCCACCCCCCUGGCAUGCCCCAGUCCCCUCGGACCCUGAGCCUAUGAAAUCCUGACUACAAAAAUGGUGGCGGGAGCCGUCCCUGGAUGGGGGUCACUAGCCUCCCCAUUGUGACUCGUUUGAGCUCUUAGCCAGGCGUGUAGUCUGGCGGGAGCCGUCGCGGCUGGCUCGGCAGCUCCAGGCUAUUCCGAGGAACAGUCUUCAGAGAGCCUGGGGUGCUGAUGGGGAAAAGCUGUUGCUGAGAUUUGACAAGUUUGGUCCUGAGAUGUCAGAAAGGAUUUCAGCUCUUCUGCCACCCCAAGGACGGUGGCGCGUAAAUCACAGUGAGCUGGCUUAUGUCAGGUCAACUGUGGAAUUUGAUCCUAGCGCAUUGCUCCCUCCUCUUCCUUGCCUGCGUCUCUCCCUCUCUCAGCUCUAGUUUGAGAUCAGCACAGAUUCCCUGGGUGAUUUUUGAGAAAACUGCCUCCUCUUUAGGACUUGGCAUCCCCUAACCUGCAUCAGGAAAGGGUGGCGACAGAUACUCUCACACCCAGGGAGGCUGCAAGGCCCACCCUCUACCCUCCACCUGGGUUCUCUGGCGUCGAGACUUGUGCCCUACAGUUCUGGGCCGUUGGGGUGAUGUCCCAGUGGGACCAGGGUGAGGGUGCAGGUAUCUGAGGGAGUAGUAGGACCAGAACCUCUAACCUUAGGGAGGCUUCCUGGGAGCCAAGCUUGGUGACUUAGAAUGUGAAUGUCUGACCCAUAUCCCACUACCUUUUGGUGGGUGCUGCAGAGGACAAUGGAGAGAGAGUCAACUCUGAAGAGUGGUCUUGUGGAAGAGGCAGCUGGCUGGUUCAGUGUGGCACUGGCAGCCUCCCUAAGGUUCCCAGGUAGAAGUUUCUGACAGGUAGAUUUCAGCUGUGUUUAAGGAAGAACUUUGAAGUUGUCAGAAUGAGCGGUCUUGUGAUAGUGAGCUCCCUGUCUCCAGAGGCAUGCAAGCAGGACACUUUCACAUAUGCAUUCAAGAUGACCUAUGCAAGGCGUUGUGCUAAGUGCUAGGAGUGCAGAGGAGAACGAGACCCAGUGGGGAAACAGGCACUUGCAAUGCUGCUGUGAGUGUGAGCAGAGGAGGACAUGUUGCAGAAGAAAUGCAAGUACAGUGAAGAAUAAGACUGGGGAACUUUUACAAUUCAGAGUGGCCUUCACUGUGGGCGGUCCGAAUUGAUCCCUGUAUACAGGUGCUUCUGGGGUGACAUUUUCCCUGCUCCAUGGAGCUCCGGGAGGAGUGCGGACCAACCCCUUCUUUGCAGGCCUGUCUGUGGGGUGCCACUCCUCCUCCCACCUCCCCACUGCACAGACAGCCCAUCAGUGUCCCUGAGCUGCUCCAGAAGGAUGCAGCUCUGAGGAGGCUCUGGGAGCGGUGUAUCCUAGCAACCUCUGAGGCUGGCAUCUGCAGGGCUAGGCCCAGACUCAAGGCUCUUUCUAAUUUGCCAGCCUUCCCUUAAUGAUAAGCUUUCCCACACGGAUGUGGAGUGGGGAGGAAGAGGGGAGAAGUGGGCAGGAAGUGUUGCCUCCAACCCCAUCACAGAGUAGGUCAAGCCUCGCCCACAAUACUGCCGGGGAUGGGGAAGGAGGGAGGGCACAGUGAGUCCGUUAACUGAAUAUGCCACUUGUCCAUCACCGUGGCCGGUUUAUCACCAUUUAGAGGACAAUGAAUCCAGGCAGUGAUCCACCAAUGAUAACUAACAUCAUAAAAAGAUACAUGGCCGGAUAUGAUGUUCCUUCUGACGGAAGACCACAACACCUGCUGAAAAAUCAAAUCUGAAUCGGAUCAAGCCUCUAGAGGAGGCAGCACCCAGGGUCAUUCCUGGAGCAUAAACGAUCCCUGCAGAACAUGGGCUAGAAGACCCCACAGUGGGGCAGAGGCAGGUCCUGGACUGGGAUCCCAGCAGUGAGAAGACCUGGACAUCAACCCUAUUUCAUUGUGCCUCUGCAAAUCUCCCAACUUUUGGAGCUGUAGCUGCAAGCUCAGACUUGUGGUUUCCUGUACCUGGAGGAGGCCCAGGUCAUUCUGUUAAGUCCCUUGUCUAUUUCCUGCUUUUAUCUGGAUGCUGAGUUAAUUAUUUGAUCCAACAAUAAAACUAACAAGGUUUUAU
rnacentral:lncRNA from 10 species